GAUGAAGAACGCAGCGAAAUGCGAUAAGUAAUGUGAAUUGCAGAAUUCAGUGAAUCAUCGAAUCUUUGAACGCACCUUGCGCCCUUUGGACAUUCCGAAGGGCAUGCCUGUUUGAGUAUCAUGAACACCUCAACUCUCACGGCUUGUCCGUGAUGAGCUUGGACUUUGGGGGUCUUGCCGGCCUGUGGUCGGCUCCUCUCAAAUGGAUCAGCUUGCCAGUGUUUGGUGGCAUCACAGGUGUGAUAACUAUCUGCGCUUGUGGUUUUCCAUCAGAUAACCUUCAGUGAUAUGGAGGUUCGCUGGAGCUCACAAAUGUCUCUCCUUAGUGAGGACAGCUCUUUGAACGUUUGAUCUCAAAUCAGGUAGGACUACCCGCUGAACUUAAGCAUAUCAAUAAGCGGGGGA
rnacentral:misc_RNA from 1 species